UACGUAGGGGGCAAGCGUUGUCCGGAAUCAUUGGGCGUAAAGAGCGUGUAGGCGGCUCGGUAAGUCCGCUGUGAAAGUCCAGGGCUCAACCCUGGAAUGCCGGUGGAAACUGUCGAGCUAGAGUCCGGAAGAGGCGAGUGGAAUUCCUGGUGUAGCGGUGAAAUGCGCAGAUAUCAGGAGGAACACCGGUGGCGAAGGCGGCUGCCUGGCCUAGGACCGACGCUGAGGCGCGAAAGCGUGGGGAGCAAACAGG
rnacentral:rRNA from 1 species